AGAAGGAGAAGAUGGAGAAAAAAAAAACUGGAAAAUUAUUUUUUAAAUCGAUAAUUGUGUAUAGAAAGAUAUGAGGAAGAAAAAGUAAAGAAUUUCUUCUGUGGAGAUGGCCGGCCACUUGACUGUUCAGGAGGGAGCUAAGACUGCAGCAUGCUAUGAAGUGUGGAAUUUCAUUGUUUUGGUUCUGAGAUGGUGGCGUGCAUGGAAAGUGACAUUGUGAUAUUGUCAUACCAGUUAAAAGUGAUGGAAGAGCAGAAACGGUGAAUCACUAAACAAAACUAUCUUGCGUUCCUGAAGGUCUUGGGUUCACAUUUUACAGGAUUCAAUUGUCACUUACAUUGCUCCGGAGGACUCGAUAAAAAACAAAACAAAAAUAAAAUAAAAGCAAUCUCCUGAUAUCGAAACAUUCGAUUCUACUCCUUCCCUCCGAAUGCACCUAAUAAUUCAGAAACCCCUUUAGCAUUUCAAUAUAUGAUCUAUGAUUCGUAGGUUUGUUGUGAAUAUCUUUCGAUACACACGCACAAACAACACACCCACGCAUACAUACAUU
rnacentral:lncRNA from 1 species